rnacentral:rRNA from 1 species
UUGAAGGUUGGGUAACACUAACUGGAGGACCGAACCGACUAAUGUUGAAAAAUUAGCGGAUGACCUGUGGCUGGGGGUGAAAGGCCAAUCAAACCGGGAGAUAGCUGGUUCUCCCCGAAAGCUAUUUAGGUAGCGCCUCGUGAAUUCAUCUCCGGGGGUAGAGCACUGUUUCGGCUAGGGGGCCAUCCCGGCUUACCAACCCGAUGCAAACUGCGAAUACCGGAGAAUGUUAUCACGGGAGACACACGGCGGGUGCUAACGUCCGUCGUGAAGAGGGAAACAACCCAGACCGCCAGCUAAGGUCCCAAAGUCAUGGUUAAGUGGGAAACGAUGUGGGAAGGCCCAGACAGCCAGGAUGUUGGCUUAGAAGCAGCCAUCAUUUAAAGAAAGCGUAAUAGCUCACUGGUCGAGUCGGCCUGCGCGGAAGAUGUAACGGGGCUAAACCAUGCACCGAAGCUGCGGCAGCGACACUGUGUGUUGUUGGGUAGGGGAGCGUUCUGUAAGCCUGUGAAGGUGUGUCGUGAGGCAUGCUGGAGGUAUCAGAAGUGCGAAUGCUGACAUAAGUAACGAUAAAGCGGGUGAAAAGCCCGCUCGCCGGAAGACCAAGGGUUCCUGUCCAACGUUAAUCGGGGCAGGGUGAGUCGACCCCUAAGGCGAGGCCGAAAGGCGUAGUCGAUGGGAAACGGGUUAAUAUUCCCGUACUUGGUGUUACUGCGAAGGGGGGACGGAGAAGGCUAUGUUGGCCGGG